rnacentral:rRNA from 1 species
CCUACGGGAGGCAGCAGUGGGGGAUAUUGCACAAUGGGGGAAACCCUGAUGCAGCGACGCCGCGUGGGUGAAGAAGUAUUUCGGUAUGUAAAGCCCUAUCAGCAGGGAAGAAAGAAGACGGUACCUGACUAAGAAGCCCCGGCUAACUACGUGCCAGCAGCCGCGGUAAUACGUAGGGGGCGAGCGUUAUCCGGAUUCACUGGGUGUAAAGGGAGCGUAGACGGCCGUGCAAGCCAGGAGUGAAAGCCCGGGGCCCAACCCCGGGACUGCUCUUGGAACUGUGCGGCUGGAGUGCGGGAGGGGCAGGCGGAAUUCGUGGUGUAGCGGUGAAAUGCGUAGAUAUCAGGAGGAACACCGGCGGCGAAGGCGGCCUGCUGGACCGCGACUGACGUUGAGGCUCGAAAGCGUGGGGAGCGAACAGGAUUAGAUACCCUGGUAGUC